rnacentral:lncRNA from 1 species
GAUAUGUAGAGUUCAGGAUUGCAUGGUAGAUUUUUCUCAGGAAUCUCGAAGUUCUUCGAUGUUUCUUUGUUCUUGAUAACAUAUUUCAUGUACAGCCACCUGUACAGUAAGUUUCCUGUGUGUUCAGAAACUAGGUUAAGACUACGGACUAAUUAUCCAUAUUUGUUCUGUGAAAUGUUGUAUGAUUUAAGGAUGCUUUUGUAUUCUGUUUUUUACAUUUACCUAUUAGUGGAUCUUCUGCAGUGCAAGUAGAUAUGUAGAGUUCAGGAUUGCAUGGUAGAUUUUUCUCAGGAAUCUCGAAGUUCUUCGAUGUUUCUUUGUUCUUGAUAACAUAUUUCAUGUACAGCCACCUGUACAGUAAGUUUCCUGUGUGUUCAGAAACUAGGUUAAGACUACGGACUAAUUAUCCAUAUUUGUUCUGUGAAAUGUUGUAUGAUUUAAGGAUGCUUUUGUAUUCUGUUUUUUACAUUUACCUCUAAUGUUCCUUAUACUCGGACGAGGUAAUUAUUUGAUUCUUAUUAACUGAAUUUUUAAGAAUUUGGGCUUUAUUCGUGUGUAAUACUCAGUCUCUGGCCUUUAGAUUCGAAAUUGGGUGUGUUUCUAUGCUUACACAGGCCAAUAUAUUUUUAU